AGAGUUUGAUCCUGGCUCAGGAUGAACGCUAGCGGCAGGCUUAACACAUGCAAGUCGCGGGGCAGCGCGGGUAGCAAUACCUGGCGGCGACCGGCGGAAGGGUGCGUAACGCGUGAGCAACAUGCCCGUAUCAGGGGGAUAACCGAUGGAAACGUCGCCUAAUACCCCAUAACAACGAGGGCCGCAUGACCCAUGUUUGAAAGUUACGGCGGAUACGGAUUGGCUCGCGUGACAUUAGCUGGUUGGCGGGGUAACGGCCCACCAAGGCUACGAUGUCUAGGGGUUCUGAGAGGAAGGUCCCCCACACUGGAACUGAGACACGGUCCAGACUCCUACGGGAGGCAGCAGUGAGGAAUAUUGGUCAAUGGGCGCAAGCCUGAACCAGCCAUGCCGCGUGCAGGAAUGAGGCCCUAUGGGUCGUAAACUGCUUUUGCUGCGGAGCAAUAAGUGCUACGUGUAACACGAUGAGAGUACGCAGCGAAUAAGCAUCGGCUAACUCCGUGCCAGCAGCCGCGGUAAUACGGAGGAUGCGAGCGUUAUCCGGAUUUAUUGGGUUUAAAGGGUGCGUAGGCUGUUCGUCAAGUCAGUGGUGAAAUGCCGGGGCUCAACCCCGGAGCUGCCAUUGAUACUGUCGGGCUUGAAUCCUGCUGCCGUGGGAGGAAUGAGUAGUGUAGCGGUGAAAUGCUUAGAUAUUACACAGAACACCGAUUGCGAAAGCAGCUGACGAACCACCGAUUGACGCUGAUGCACGAAAGUGCGGGUAUCGAACAGGAUUAGAUACCCUGGUAGUCCGCACAGUAAACGAUGACAACUAGCUGUUGGGCGAUAUACCGUUCAGUAGCGUAGCGAAAGCGUUAAGUUGUCCACCUGGGGAGUACGACCGCAAGGUUGAAACUCAAAGGAAUUGACGGGGGCCCGCACAAGCGGAGGAACAUGUGGUUUAAUUCGAUGAUACGCGAGGAACCUUACCCAGGCUCGAACGGUGCAGGAAUAAUUCAGAGAUGAAUUAGCAUAGCAAUAUGUCUGUAUCGAGGUGCUGCAUGGUUGUCGUCAGCUCGUGCCGUGAGGUGUCGGCUUAAGUGCCAUAACGAGCGCAACCCCUCUCCGUAGUUGCCAUCGGGUUAUGCCGGGCACUCUGCGGACACUGCCUCCGUAAGGUGUGAGGAAGGGGGGGAUGACGUCAAAUCAGCACGGCCCUUACGUCCGGGGCGACACACGUGUUACAAUGGCGGCCACAGAGGGGCACUACCUGGUGACAGGAUGGGAAUCUCGAAAAGCCGUCUCAGUCCGGAUCGGAGUCUGCAACCCGACUCCGUGAAGCUGGAUUCGCUAGUAAUCGCGCAUCAGCCAUGGCGCGGUGAAUACGUUCCCGGGCCUUGUACACACCGCCCGUCAAGCCAUGAAAGUCUGGGGCGCCUGAAGUCCGUGACCGAGAGGAGCGGCCUAGGGCGAAACAGGUAAUUGGGGCUAAGUCGUAACAAGGUAGCCGUA
rnacentral:rRNA from 1 species